ensembl:lncRNA
UUGUGUUUUGGGGAAAAAUUAAUUUUCUUGUAGUUGUUAUAUGUAUACUGCAUCUGCAAGGUCUUUCCCAGAUUUAAAUUGUAAGCCAUACUUCUGUCAUGGAAACGAGAUCAAUUAGUCUUGGAAGUGAUGGUAUGGCCUGCCCAGAGCUCUGGUCUCAACAUCAUUGAGUCUGUCUGGAAUUACAUGAAGAGACAGGAUCUGAGGAAGCCAACAGGCAUAGAAGAUCUAUAGGUAGUUCUCCAAGAUAUUUAGAAUGACCUACAAGCAGAGUUCUUUCCAAAUGUCAGGUGAGCGAGUCAGGUGACUGCGAGGAAGAGCGAGGAUUGGUUAGGACAGGAGAUAAACAGGAAGUCCUGGCGCCUGCUCCUCGCUCAGACAUCGUGUUUCAUUCAUGGUCCAUGAGCUCUCACCUGUUUCCCGAUCCCGUAUCCAGUCCUCUCCAUCUCCGGUACCGUGAGUUCCUCCUUCUCUUCAGCUCGCGAGCUACUGUUAUUGGCCGGUUUAUCGUAACGCCGUUUCCCCGGUGGGAUUCCGCUUUUAGCGCUCGGGCGUUACAACAACAAUCGCGUGUGUCUUCCAACCUCCCGCGGUUCUCUCCGCGUUUGGGUCAAUCCCGCACGCUACAAGGGCGUAUCCAAUCUCUCACGAUUGUCUGUGUGGUUACACGCCUGUCCGGAUGUCUGAGCCCGUAGUCGACCCAGCGGAGUUUGAGCGCGUGAAUGCAGAAGUCACCUAUUUUCGUGGUAUGAUUGAUGCACAAGCCACCACCAUUAAUACUCUCAAGGACUCCGUUUUGCAACUCUUCACCUCCAUGACAGUGUUACAGCGCCAGCUCUCCGGCGCCACCGCCGGUCCUCGUAUCGCUCUGCCAGAUAAAUGGAACGGGGUGGACGGCCGCCCGGACGGGUUAUUAGCCACCUUGGAUAUGAUUUUUCCCAUUAUGAGACGUCUCGCGCCAAGGUGGCCCUCUUAACAUCCCUCCUGUCCGGGCGUGCACAGGAGUGGGCGGCAGCCCUAUACAACGCCAAAUCACCCAUCUGCAACGAUUAUUUUCUCUUCUCCGAGGAACUCCGGAAGACUUUCGUCCCAGCCAGCGGCGAGAGGUCUCCGGAUUCCCAGCUUCUCCAUCUGCGUCAGGGGUCUUUCUCCGUCUGCCACUAUGCUUCAGAGUUCCGAACCCUCUCAGCCAAACUCUCUUGGGGAGACGACGCUCUUCGCGCUCUCUUCAUAGAGGGCCUGGCUGAUCACAUACGAGACGAGAUGACUGGCAAGGAAGCUCCUCAAACCCUCGAUGCGGCGGUGGAUCUGGCUCUCCGUAUAGAUCAGCGGAUUCUGACACGGCCUCCACCUGCUCAACGUUGGUCCCCACAACCUUCCACUCAUAUGCCGUCUCCGCCUCGUUUUUCAUUUCCCGGCGCGCCUCCACUCUGAACACAUCCACUUCCUGGUCAUCUCGGCACCUUCAUCACCUCUCAUCCUGGGUUAUCCAUGGCUCCAGCUCCACGAUCCACACGUCCUCUGGUCUGAAAACCGCAUCCUGGACUGGGGUCCUGCCUGCCGCCAGCGCAGUCUGCUUCCCAGGACAAGCACGUGCUCCAGAGAGUCCCCAGCCCCCCCGCCCGCCGACAUCGAAUCAAUCCCUGCAUCUUAUCGUGACCUCGCUGAGGUCUUCAGCAAACAGCGAGCCUCCACCCUGCCUCCGCACUGUCCUUAUGACGUCGCCAUCGACCUCUUACCUGGGGCAGUGCUGCCUCGAGGUCGGCUGUUCUCUCUGUCCCCUGCAGAGAACAGGGCGAUGGAGGAUUACAUCGCGGAGGCCCUCCAACAGGGCUUCAUCCGGCCCUCCACCUCCCCUGCGGCCCCAGGUUUUUUCUUUCGUUAAGAAGAAGGAGGGGGGCCUCCGCCCCUGCAUUGACUACCAGGGGCUGAACAAGGCCACAGUCAAGAACCGGCACCCGCUUCCUCUCCUCUCCACGGCAUUGGAUUCCCUCUCCCGGGCCUCCAUCUUCACCAAGCUGGAUCUGCGCAGCGCCUACAACCUUGUGCGCGUCCGGGAGGGGGAUGAGUGGAAGACCGCCUUCAUUACUCCGACAGGACACUAGGAGUACCUAGUGAUGCCGUUCGGGUUGUGCAAUGCGCCCGCCGUGUUCCAGCAUUUCAUCAACGACGUCCUCCGGGACAUGCUCCCAGAAUGAACAGGAUCAUGUCCUUCAUGUGAGAGCCGUCUUGAAACGUCUGCUUGCCCACCAGCUGUACUGGAAACUGGAAAAGUGCGCCUUCCACCAGCGCUCCACCGCGUUUCUGGGUUAUACCAUCUCUACCCAGGGUGUGGCCAUGGAUCCCCAGAAGGUCAAAGCUGUGACCAAGUGGCCCCAACCCACUAGUCUUAAGCAGCUGCAAAGCUUCCUGGGGUUUGCCAAUUUCUAUCGCCGUUUUAUCUGGGGUUUCAGUUCAGUUGUAGCACCCCUGACUACUCACUAAACCAGCUCAUCAACCCCGGCCGUUUCUUCUUCCUCCAGAGGCACUUCGGGCCACCAAAACUGAACGGAUUUUCAAAAGCAAAGGGUGGUCACACCAAAUAUUGAUUUCAAAUAUAUUUCUCUUGUGUUGAUUUGCUGCACUUUGUUACUUGAUUAUCAUUGUUUAAGAAUUAUUAUUUUAUAGCAUUUAUUCUGUAACACACAGAAAAACUGUAUAUAUAAAAUAUAUAUGUGUGUAUAUAUAAUAAAUAUCUUAACCCUUUUUCCA